rnacentral:tmRNA from 1 species
GGGGGUGAUUUGGUUUCGAUACCACCUGAUCAUUCCGAAAAGAAGCGGGUCCAGAAACGCACGGUCAUCUGGCUAAACAGUCCGGGCAACCAAGAGAUGCCAACGCAACUCGCUCUGACCUCGCUCUCGCCGCUUAGCCGGCCGGAGACCAAACCGGGGUCUGUCUCAAACCGCAUCAGGCAGCUGGUUCUCGGCCGCGGUUUAGGCAUCAGCCAAAGGAGACCUGGAUGACGGCAGCGCUGCGCGCCGGCAUCCGUACCAGCAGCUAGACCGGGACGGUCCGUUGUCCGCCAUGGACCGGCCGGGUCGAUAAGCACCAAGGUGGACUACACCCGUAGAAGAGUUCGGAAGCAGGGGGUACACGAGGGUUCGAUCCCCUCCACCUCCACGA